UACGUAGGUGGCAAGCGUUGUCCGGAUUUAUUGGGUUUAAAGGGUGCGUAGGCGGUCUUCUAAGUCAGUUUGUGAAAUACUUCAGCUUAACUGGAGAGGUGCAAUUUGAUACUGGGGAGACUUGAGUACUGAUGAGGUAGGCGGAAUGGACGGUGUAGCGGUGAAAUGCUUAGAUAUCGUCCAGAACACCGAUAGCGAAAGGCAGCUUACUAAAGGAG
rnacentral:rRNA from 1 species